GAGCAAUCUUAUAGUACGAUCAAGUGUUAUCUGGAAGUUGAAUAUUAGUGUGCUUCAGUGUCAUCAUCCAUAGUCAUUCUGAGGAGGGAUGAGAGAUGAAUAACAUGCAUUUAAAACUGUGCUCAGUCAGACUGGGUCCCUGGUUGGUCACCAGCUGAGCUCCCACUUGGCAACCAGCUCCAACUCCUCAUGUGCCUGGGUUCUGCAGAAGACAGGCUCAUUGAAGAUUUCGCUGGGGAGUGUGAGCUCCAGGAAAGAAGGAAUGUUGUGCAACUGAGUUGCCUGCAGCAAUUAUCUGCAAUCACUGAUUCCGGGUGGCAGGAUCAUGCCGGACCCCCUGAGGAGCCAUAUGCAAUGAAUCUGAAGACUGGUCAUCGGGGGAAGAAAGUGGAAGGAUUGCCUGCCAAGUUCUGUUCCCUGUAGGCCAUAGGUUUGCCUGUAAGAUGCUCACUCUCACAUCUUCCAGGUUGGAGAUUUGUGGGCACCAAGUGGGUUCCCGAGGCAUCCCGCUCUGUGUCCACAGAGAGGCGCUGGUGCGGGCAGUGAAGAGCCUUGAGGUAUAAGUGGGAAUGACAGGAGCUGUUGAGCUGAAAGAAAACAACACAAAGUUCCAGUUGAAGAUCUAUCAACACACCUCACUUCUGAACGCCAUUGCAUGGUGGUUCCUCGCACGGCACCUAUUCUCUCUGAGAUCCUAUCCACAGCCUGGAUGUCUGUAUGAUUCCCAUCUUGAAAUUACCAUGUCAGCUUCUCUUCUGAACCGAGGGUCCAUUUACUUUAUUACCUUUAAGAAUCUUCCCAUAGGAACCUGAAAUAUAACUUGCAAUAUAACCCGCGACGGAAAUCAACACUGAAAUCUUGCCCUCUUGCCUGUCUAGCAGCAGUUGUGAUGUGAUUCCCUCUCCUUUCUGCCAUGACUUCUUCACCUGUAACCUUCUGGGAGGAAGAGAAAACUUGGACACACACAGAGACACCAGGGAUGGGCACGGAGGAAAGACCAAGUGAGGACACGGAAAGAAGGAGGCCAUUUGUAAGCUGAGGAGAGAGGUCUCAGGGGAAAACAGAGCUACCAGCACCUUGACCUUUGGCUUCGAG